AAAAAGGUGCUAUUAAGCACCUUUUUAUAUAAAGUUAAGAAAUUACU
rfam:Clostridium celatum DSM 1785 genomic scaffold Scfld53, whole genome shotgun sequence.